rnacentral:rRNA from 1 species
UACGUAGGGGGCUAGCGUUGUCCGGAAUCAUUGGGCGUAAAGCGCGUGUAGGCGGUCCGGUAAGUCCGCUGUGAAAGUCGGGGGGCUCAACCCUCGGAUGCCGGUGGAUACUGUCGGGCUUGAGUACGGAAGAGGCGAGUGGAAUUCCUGGUGUAGCGGUGAAAUGCGUAGAUAUUGGGAGGAACACCAAUGGCGAAGGCAGCACUCUGGGACGUGACUGACGCUGAGACGCGAAAGCGUGGGGAGCAAACAGG